GCGGGCGUAGUUUAAUGGUAGAACUGAAGCUUCCCAAGCUUUAGGCGCGGGUUCGAUUCCCACCGCCCGCU
rnacentral:tRNA from 1 species